ACGAGCAUGUCGAUGAAGCGG
rnacentral:misc_RNA from 1 species